rnacentral:rRNA from 1 species
UACAGAGGGGGCAAGCGUUGUUCGGAAUUACUGGGCGUAAAGGGCGCGUAGGCGGCCUGCUAAGUCGAACGUGAAAUCCCCGGGCUCAACCCGGGAACUGCGUCCGAUACUGGUUGGCUUGAAUCCGGGAGAGGGAUGCGGAAUUCCAGGUGUAGCGGUGAAAUGCGUAGAUAUCUGGAGGAACACCGGUGGCGAAGGCGGCAUCCUGGACCGGCAUUGACGCUGAGGCGCGAAAGCCAGGGGAGCAAACAGG